rnacentral:rRNA from 1 species
CUGGCUCAGGAUGAACGCUAGCGGCAGGCUUAACACAUGCAAGUCGAGGGGCAGCGCGAGUAGCAAUACUUGGCGGCGACCGGCGCAAGGGUGCGUAACGCGUGAGCAACAUGCCCGUAUCAGGGGGAUAAUCCAGGGAAACUUGGUCUAAUACCCCAUAGUAAUUUUGUAAGGCAUCUUAUAAGAUUUAAAGCUUUGGUGGAUACGGAUUGGCUCGCGUGACAUUAGCUGGAUGGUAAGGUAACGGCUUACCAUGGCUAUGAUGUCUAGGGGUUCUGAGAGGAAGGUCCCCCACACUGGAACUGAGACACGGUCCAGACUCCUACGGGAGGCAGCAGUGAGGAAUAUUGGACAAUGGAUGGAAAUCUGAUCCAGCCAUGCCGCGUAGAAGGAAGAAGGUCCUAUGGAUUGUAAACUUCUUUUGUAUGGGAGCAAUAAGGCCUACGAGUAGGUUGAUGAGAGUACCAUACGAAUAAGCACCGGCUAACUCCGUGCCAGCCGCCGC